GGGACUAGCUAACAGUCGUGGGUCGUGGGUAGAAUGUCGUGGGUUGUGGGUAAAAUGUCGUGGGUCGUGGGUAAAAUGUCGUGGGUCGUGGGUAAAAAGGCGUGGGUCGUGGGUAAAAAGGUCGUGGGUCGUGGGUAGAAUGUCGUGGGUCGUGGGUAAAAAGGCGUGGGUCGUGGGUAAAAAGGCGUGGGUCGUGGGUAAAAAGGCGUGGGUCGUGGGUAAAAAGGCGUGGGUCGUGGGUAAAAAGGCGUGGGUCGUGGGUAAAAAGGCGUGGG